UACGUAGGGGGCAAGCGUUGUCCGGAUUUACUGGGCGUAAAGAGCGUGUAGGCGGCCACGCAGGUCCGUUGUGAAAACUGGAGGCUCAACCUUCAGACGUCGACGGAAACCGUGUGGCUAGAGUCCGGAAGAGGAGAGUGGAAUUCCUGGUGUAGCGGUGGAAUGCGCAGAUAUCAGGAGGAACACCGAUGGCGAAGGCAGGUCUCUGGGCCACUACUGACGCUGAGAAGCGAAAGCAUGGGGAGCGAACAGG
rnacentral:rRNA from 1 species